rnacentral:tRNA from 1 species
GCACCUGUGGCUCAAGGGCACAACGUCUGCUUGGUGUGCAGAAGGUCCUGGGUUCAAUCCCCAGCAUCUCCA